CAACCCUCAAGCCCCAGCGGUUUGGUGUUGGGGACCGGCGAUGGUGCUGCUCCGGCAGGCGCUCGCCGCCCCCGAAAUGAAUUGGCGGUCUCGUCGCGGCCUCCUCUGCGUAGUAGCACAACCUCGCAACAGGAGCGCGGCGCGGCCACUGCCGUAAAACGCCCCAACUUCUCAAG
rnacentral:misc_RNA from 1 species